CGGGCUGCAGCAGUAAGGAAUAUUGGUCAAUGGACGCAAGUCUGAACCAGCCAUGCCGCGUGAAGGAUUAAGGUCCUCUGGAUUGUAAACUUCUUUUAUUUGGGACGAAAAAUGGCCUUUCUAGGUCAACUGACGGUACCAGAUGAAUAAGCACCGGCUAACUCCGUGCCAGCAGCCGCGGUAAUACGGAGGGUGCAAGCGUUAUCCGGAUUCACUGGGUUUAAAGGGUGCGUAGGCGGGUAGGUAAGUCAGUGGUGAAAUCCUGGAGCUCAACUUCAGAACUGCCAUUGAUACUAUUUAUCUUGAAUAUUGUGGAGGUAAGCGGAAUAUGUCAUGUAGCGGUGAAAUGCUUAGAUAUGACAUAGAACACCUAUUGCGAAGGCAGCUUACUACGCAUAUAUUGACGCUGAGGCACGAAAGCGUGGGGAUCAAACAGGAUUAGAUACCCCUGU
rnacentral:rRNA from 1 species